GAUGAAGAACGUAGCGAAAUGCGAUAAGUAAUGUGAAUUGCAGAAUUCAGUGAAUCAUCGAAUCUUUGAACGCACAUUGCGCCCGCCAGUAUUCUGGCGGGCAUGCCUGUUCGAGCGUCAUUUCAACCCUCAGGCCCCGCCUGGCGUUGGGGAUCGGCGCGGCCCUCUCCGGGCUGCCGGCCCCGAAAACUAGUGGCGGUCUCGCUGUAGUCCUCCUCUGCGCAGUAGCAACGCUCGCACUGGAACUCGGCGCGGCCACGCCGUAAAACACCCCACUUCUGAAAGUUGACCUCGAAUCAGGUAGGGAUACCCGCUGAACUUAAGCAUAUCAAUAAGCGGAGGA
rnacentral:misc_RNA from 1 species